rnacentral:rRNA from 1 species
UGGUUAGUCCACGCCUGUAACCGAUGAAUGUAGGUGUGGGGAACGAUNUUCGGUGCCGCAGUUAACGCAUUAAGCAUCCGGCUGGGNAGUUCGGUUCGCAAGGUUAAACUNAAAGGAAUUUGACGGGGGGCCCGCACAAGCGGUGGAGUAUGUGGUUUAAUUNGAUGAAACGCNAAGANCCUUACCUGGGUUUGACAUCCCGCGAAUCCUCCNGAAAAGAAGAGUGCCCUUCGGGGAGCGCGGUGACAGGUGCUGCAUGGCUGUCGUCAGCUCGUGCCGUGAGGUGUUGGGUUAAGUCCCGCAACGAGCGCAACCCUUGUCUUUAGUUGCCAGCGAGUAAUGUCGGGCACUCUAGAGAGACCGCCUCGGUCAACGGGGAGGAAGGUGGGGACGACGUCAAGUCAUCAUGGCCCUUACGCCCAGGGCUACACACGUACUACAAUGGUGGGUACAAUGGGCUGCGAGACCGCAAGGUGGAGCCAAUCCCAAAAAACCCAUCCCAGUCCGGAUCGGGGUCUGCAACUCGACCCCGUGAAGUCGGAAUCGCUAGUAAUCGGAGAUCAGCAUGCUCCGGUGAAUACGUUCCCGGGCCUUGUACACACUGCCCGUCAAACCAUGGGAGUUGAUUUUACCCGAAGUCGGUCAGCUAACUCGCAAGAGAGGCAGCCGCCCACGGUAGGAUGAAUGACUGNGGUUAAGUCGUAACAAGGUAACC